rnacentral:rRNA from 1 species
AUGAACGCUGGCGGCGUGCCUAAUACAUGCAAGUCGAGCGAACAGACGAGGAGCUUGCUCCUCUGACGUUAGCGGCGGACGGGUGAGUAACACGUGGAUAACCUACCUAUAAGACUGGGAUAAUUUCGGGAAACCGGAGCUAAUACCGGAUAAUAUAUUGAACCGCAUGGUUCAAUAGUGAAAGACGGUUUUGCUGUCACUUAUAGAUGGAUCCGCGCCGCAUUAGCUAGUUGGUAAGGUAACGGCUUACCAAGGCAACGAUGCGUAGCCGACCUGAGAGGGUGAUCGGCCACACUGGAACUGAGACACGGUCCAGACUCCUACGGGAGGCAGCAGUAGGGAAUCUUCCGCAAUGGGCGAAAACCUGACGGAGCAACGCCGCGUGAGUGAUGAAGGUCUUCGGAUCGUAAAACUCUGUUAUUAGGGAAGAACAAAUGUGUAAGUAACUAUGCACGUCUUGACGGUACCUAAUCAGAAAGCCACGGCUAACUACGUG